AUACGGAGGGGACUAGCGUUGUUCGGAAUUACUGGGCGUAAAGCGCGCGUAGGCGGAUUUGCAAGUCGGGGGUGAAAUCCCGAGGCUCAACCUCGGAACUGCCUUCGAUACUGCAAAUCUCGAGUCCGGAAGAGGUGAGUGGAAUUCCUAGUGUAGAGGUGAAAUUCGUAGAUAUUAGGAAGAACACCAGUGGCGAAGGCGGCUCACUGGUCCGGUACUGACGCUGAGGCGCGAAAGCGUGGGGAGC
rnacentral:rRNA from 1 species